rnacentral:rRNA from 1 species
UACGGAGGGGGCUAGCGUUGUUCGGAAUUACUGGGCGUAAAGCGCACGUAGGCGGCUUUGUAAGUUAGAGGUGAAAGCCCAGGGCUUAACCCUGGAAUUGCCUUUAAGACUGCAUCGCUAGAAUCGUGGAGAGGUGAGUGGAAUUCCGAGUGUAGAGGUGAAAUGCGUAGAUAUAGGAAGGAACACCAGUGGCGAAGGCGACCACCUGGACUGAUACUGACACUGAGGUGCGAAAGCGUGGGGAGCAAACAGG